rnacentral:rRNA from 1 species
UGCAAGUCGAGCGGACAGAUGGGAGCUUGCUCCCUGAUGUUAGCGGCGGACGGGUGAGUAACACGUGGGUAACCUGCCUGUAAGACUGGGAUAACUCCGGGAAACCGGGGCUAAUACCGGAUGGUUGUUUGAACCGCAUGGUUCAAACAUAAAAGGUGGCUUCGGCUACCACUUACAGAUGGACCCGCGGCGCAUUAGCUAGUUGGUGAGGUAACGGCUCACCAAGGCAACGAUGCGUAGCCGACCUGAGAGGGUGAUCGGCCACACUGGGACUGAGACACGGCCCAGACUCCUACGGGAGGCAGCAGUAGGGAAUCUUCCGCAAUGGACGAAAGUCUGACGGAGCAACGCCGCGUGAGUGAUGAAGGUUUUCGGAUCGUAAAGCUCUGUUGUUAGGGAAGAACAAGUACCGUUCGAAUAGGGCGGUACCUUGACGGUACCUAACCAGAAAGCCACGGCUAACUACGUGCCAGCAGCCGCGGUAAUACGUAGGUGGCAAGCGUUGUCCGGAAUUAUUGGGCGUAAAGGGCUCGCAGGCGGUUUCUUAAGUCUGAUGUGAAAGCCCCCGGCUCAACCGGGGAGGGUCAUUGGAAACUGGGGAACUUGAGUGCAGAAGAGGAGAGUGGAAUUCCACGUGUAGCGGUGAAAUGCGUAGAGAUGUGGAGGAACACCAGUGGCGAAGGCGACUCUCUGGUCUGUAACUGACGCUGAGGAGCGAAAGCGUGGGGAGCGAACAGGAUUAGAUACCCUGGUAGUCCACGCCGUAAACGAUGAGUGCUAAGUGUUAGGGGGUUUCCGCCCCUUAGUGCUGCAGCUAACGCAUUAAGCACUCCGCCUGGGGAGUAC